AAACAUUGCUGAGGGAAUUGUCAAUCCUCAGUAGAUCUGCCCUAUGUGUGUCCCGCAUAAAUGGCCGCAGUACCCUGACUGUGCAAAGGUAGCAUAUAAUAAGCCUCUUAAUUAGGGGAUAGAAUGAAAGAACCAACAUAGUAAUGCCUGUCUCUACACUAAAAAUAAAAAUUUUCAUGGAGGUGCAAAGACCUCCAUAUAACAAUCAGACAAACAGUCCCUAAAAGCUAAAAACACAACCCUACUAUAAAGAAUAAAAUUUUGCUGGGGAAGUAUGUCGUGUGACACGACACACCUAUAAGAAUAAUUAAUCAUAAACCUUACCUAACACACAACUCAAACAGCUACUUUAGGGAUAACAGGCUUAUAGUUUUAGAGAGCCCACAUCAAUAAAACUGUUUGGCACCUCGAUGUUGGCUUAGGGCACCUACUAAUCGCAAAAGAUUAAUAAGGGGGUUUGUUCAACCUUUAAAUCCCUACAUGAUCUGAGUUCAAACCGGAGA
rnacentral:rRNA from 1 species